rnacentral:rRNA from 1 species
GAUGAACGCUAGCUACAGGCUUAACACAUGCAAGUCGAGGGGAAACGAUAUUGGAAGCUUGCUUCCGAUAGGCGUCGACCGGCGCACGGGUGAGUAACGCGUAUCCAACCUGCCCAUCACUUGGGGAUAACCUUGCGAAAGUAAGACUAAUACCCAAUGACGUCUCUAGAAGACAUCUGAAGGAGAUUAAAGAUUUAUCGGUGAUGGAUGGGGAUGCGUCUGAUUAGCUUGUUGGCGGGGUAACGGCCCACCAAGGCGACGAUCAGUAGGGGUUCUGAGAGGAAGGUCCCCCCACAUUGGAACUGAGACACGGUCCAAAACUCCUACGGGAGGCAGCAGUGAGGAAUAUUGGUCAAUGGGCGAGAGCCUGAACCAGCCAAGUAGCGUGCAGGAUGACGGCCCUAUGGGUUGUAAACUGCUUUUAUAAGGGAAUAAAGUGAGUCUCGUGAGACUUUUUGCAUGUACCUUAUGAAUAAGGACCGGCUAAUUCCGUGCCAGCAG